AUACCAUGAUGAGGGAAAUUCCUUAAUAGCUUUUUAAAUCUCUCACAUGCAUCAUACAAAAAUUCCCCUUCCGUCUGGUAGAAAUUAUUAAUUUCCUCUCUCAACUU